AAGUCGUAACAAGGUUUCCGUAGGUGAACCUGCGGAAGGAUCAUUAACAAUUUCAAAAAACAACCUACCUUUGUGAAUUGACCUUUGGCUGGGUGGGCGAAAGCCUUAAAAGUCCCGCAAAGGUGUGUGUUGUGUGCAGCUUUUUUUUGUAGAGAUGUGAUUAUGUAAAAAGUAAUGACUUUCUCUUAAAAUUGUAGUUGUACACAACAACAAAACUACAUAGACUAUUUCUAUUGACUAAAAUUAAAGUAAAAUUCUAAAUGAAUACAACUUUUAACAGUGGAUCUCUUGGCUCUU
rnacentral:misc_RNA from 1 species